ACUACACGAAGCUGGAAUCGCUAGUAAUCGCGAAUCAGAAUGUCGCGGUGAAUACGUUCCCGGGUCUUGUACACACCGCCCGUCACACCAUGGGAGUCGGGAAUGCCCGAAGUCAGUGACCCAACCUUUGGAGGGAGCUGCCGAAGGCAGGUCUGAUAACUGGGGUGAAGUCGUAACAAGGUACC
rnacentral:rRNA from 1 species